rnacentral:rRNA from 1 species
GAUGAACGCUAGCGGCAGGCCUAAUACAUGCAAGUCGAACGGGCGGUAGCAAUACCGCUAGUGGCGCACGGGUGCGUAACACGUAACCAACCUGCCCAGAUCUGGGGGAUAGCCCGCCGAAAGGCGGAUUAAUACCGCAUAAACCCACAGUGUGGCAUCACAUAAUGGGUAAAGAUUUAUCGGAUCUGGAUGGGGUUGCGUAGCAUUAGCUAGUUGGCGGGGUAAUGGCCCACCAAGGCGACGAUGCUUAGGGGACCUGAGAGGGUGAUCCCCCACACUGGCACUGAGAUACGGGCCAGACUCCUACGGGAGGCAGCAGUAGGGAAUAUUGGGCAAUGGGCGAGAGCCUGACCCAGCCAUGCCGCGUGCCGGAUGAAGGCCUUCUGGGUUGUAAACGGCUUUUCUCAGGGAAGAAAACGGGGAUGCGUCCUCAACUGACGGUACCUGAGGAAUAAGCACCGGCUAACUCCGUG